UAUGUCUAUCCCCGUCCCCAUUUGG
rnacentral:piRNA from 1 species